rnacentral:rRNA from 1 species
GAGUUUGAUCCUGGCUCAGAACGAACGCUGGCGGCGUGCUUAACACAUGCAAGUCGAASGUGAUCCGGAGCUUGCUCCGGUGAAAGUGGCGCACGGGUGAGUAACGCGUGGAUAACCUGCCCUGGUAUCUGGGAUAACAUCUCGAAAGGGGUGCUAAUACCGGAUAAGCCCACGGACUCCUCGGAGUCUGCGGGAAAAGGUGGCCUCUAUUUAUAAGCUACCGUAUCAAGAUGGGUCCGCGUACCAUUAGCUAGUUGGUGGGGUAAUGGCCUACCAAGGCGACGAUGGUUAGCUGGUCUGAGAGGAUGAUCAGCCACACUGGAACUGAGACACGGUCCAGACUCCUACGGGAGGCAGCAGUGGGGAAUUUUGCGCAAUGGGGGAAACCCUGACGCAGCAACGCCGCGUGAGUGAUGAAGGCUUUCGGGUCGUAAAGCUCUGUCAGAGGGGAAGAAAUGAAACGUGCUAAUAUCACGUUUUCUUGACGGUACCCUCAAAGGAAGCACCGGCUAACUCCGUGCCAGCAGCCGCGGUAAUAC